rnacentral:rRNA from 1 species
AUUGAACGCUGGCGGCAUGCCUUACACAUGCAAGUCGAACGGCAGCACGGGAGCAAUCCUGGUGGCGAGAGGCGAACGGGUGAGUAAAGUAUCGGAACGUGCCCAGUCGUGGGGGAUAACGUAGCGAAAGUUACGCUAAUACCGCAUACGAUCUAUGGAUGAAAGCGGGGGAUCGCAAGACCUCGCGCGAUUGGAGCGGCCGAUAUCAGAUUAGGUAGUUGGUGGGGUAAAGGCUCACCAAGCCGACGAUCGGUAGCUGGUCUGAGAGGACGACCAGCCACACUGGGACUGAGACAUGGCCCAGACUCCUACGGGAGGCAGCAGUGGGGAAUUUUGGACAAUGGGCGCAAGCCUGAUCCAGACAUGCCGCGUGCAGGAUAAAGGCCUUCGGGUUGUAAACUGCUUUUGUACGGAACGAAAAGGUUUGACUUAAUACGUUGGACUCAUGACGGUACCGUAAGAAUAAGCACCGGCUAACUACGUGCCAGCCGCCGCCGUAA